GUUCUGGAACCCACGACCCUCCCAGGGGCAAGUGACGUUCUCGUAAUGGUGAUUUCGAAGCGUCUCGGUGCCGCUGAAACCGAUGCACGGAAAACAGAUGGUGGA
rnacentral:ribozyme from 11 species